AUGCCAAUAAUCUGGAGAUCUUGUUAAGAUUCAGAUUCUUAUUCAGUAGGCCAGGGGCAGAGCCUGAGUUUCAGCAUUUUCUAACAAGCUUCCAAAUUACAUUAAU
rnacentral:pre_miRNA from 1 species